GAUGAACGCUGGCGGCGUGCUUAACACAUGCAAGUCGAACGGUGAACGAGGGAGCUUGCUCCCUCCGGAUCAGUGGCGAACGGGUGAGUAACACGUGAGCAAUCUGCCCCGAACUCUGGGAUAAGCGCUGGAAACGGCGUCUAAUACCGGAUACGACGCGCGAAGGCAUCUUCUGCGCGUGGAAAGAAUUUCGGUUCGGGAUGAGCUCGCGGCCUAUCAGCUAGUUGGUGAGGUAACGGCUCACCAAGGCGACGACGGGUAGCCGGCCUGAGAGGGUGCCGGGCCACACUGGGACUGAGACACGGCCCAGACUCCUACGGGAGGCAGCAGUGGGGAAUAUUGCACAAUGGGCGCAAGCCUGAUGCAGCAACGCCGCGUGAGGGACGACGGCCUUCGGGUUGUAAACCUCUUUUAGUAGGGAAGAAGCGAAAGUGACGGUACCUGCAGAAAAAGCACCGGCUAACUACGUGCCAGCCGCCGCCGUAACAC
rnacentral:rRNA from 1 species